GAUGAACGCUAGCUAUAGGCUUAACACAUGCAAGUCGAGGGACCGGCGCACGGGUGAGUAACGCGUAUCCAACCUGCCCAUAACUAAGGGAUAACCCAGCGACAGUCGGACUAAUACCUUAUGGUUAUGGAUGGGGAUGCGUCUGAUUAGAUUGUUGGCGGGGUAACGGCCCACCAAGGCAACGAUCAGUAGGGGUUCUGAGAGGAAUGUCCCCCGCAGUGGAACAGGGAGACGGUCCAAACGCUUACUGGAGGCAGCAGUGUGGAAUAGUAGUCGAUGGAGGCAAGUCUGAACCAGCAAAGUAGCGUGCAGGAGGACGGCCUAGGGGUUGUAAACUGCUUUUAUAUGGGGAUAGGUACCAUAUGAAUAAGGACCGGCUAAUUCCGUGCCAGCAGCCGCGGUAAUUC
rnacentral:rRNA from 1 species